rnacentral:rRNA from 1 species
CUUGAUAAACUUAUAAGAGGUCCAGCCUGCCCAGUGACUCUGUUCAACGGCCGCGGUAUCCUAACCGUGCGAAGGUAGCGUAAUCACUUGUUCUUUAAAUGAGGACUAGUAUGAAUGGCACCACGAAGGUUAUACUGUCUCCUUUUUCUAAUCAGUGAAACUAAUCUUCCCGUGAAGAAGCGGGAAUAAAAAUAUAAGACGAGAAGACCCUAUGGAGCUUUAAACAAAUAUACACCUGCCUUCCAAUUAAAAAUUUCAGUAGACAAAUAAUUACCCAGGCAUUUUGAUAUAGCGUUUUAGGUUGGGGUGACCGCGGAGCAAAAAACAACCUCCGCAACGAACGGGAAAUCUUUCCCUAAACCAAGGGCCACGACCCCAAGUAUCGAUAAAUCGACACUAAUUGACCCAAUAAAUUUGAUCAAUGAAC